GGCAGGCAAGCAGCAGCAGCAAGCGAAAUCUUGCGGGUUCAGGAG
rnacentral:SRP_RNA from 14 species